UACGGGCUGAAAGGAAAAAGGGGCUCUUAAAAGACGGUCAUCUUGGAAGCAAAAGCCAGACAAAAAGAGCAAAGAAGAACCAGCAAAGCCAAGCAACAUCUAGGCCUACAACAACCAGGCCACCAAACACUUUUAUCGUUGCCAUGGAGGUGCUCGGCCUGACUUUUGCGCCAACAAAUGUCCCACAACCUACCUUGACUUCAGCUUCUAUAGCCUCACCAUUAAUAGCCCCACUAACCAGCUCCGUCAUCACUCCGCCGCUUACAGGAAUGGCAAGCACCACCAGCCUCUCCUUUGCUCCACCAGCUGCAUCACUCCACUAGCCUCACCAUCACUCCUACACAAACACCUCUCCAACUCUCCACCAGACCCACUUACCAGUCGUGUCAAGGCAACAUCAACCUGGUCAUCUCUCCACCAGCCUGACAAUACCUUGAUGCUGUUUCGAUAAUAAUCAUUAAAGUUAUCGUCUCCAUGCAGUUAUACUUUAUUUUUACUCUCAUCAUCCACACUAGUGCUGAUGAUCUUAUCACAAGGUAAUUUAUCAUUUUGAUUAAUGCAGUAGUAGAUGCAUCUAGUUGAGCUAACUAGCUAGUGAGUGGACUUGAAAUUCCUGCCGAGCGUUGAGAGCUAACUGGACGAUAGGGGACCCCUUAAUCUGCAAUUCAUUGUUGCUAUCUCUAAUCAGAUGUACUAACGAGGCUAAUAAGAGAAGACUUACUUUGUACGCCAACGAACACCAAUAACUAGAACUAAUUUGACAGACUAUAAACCAACGGACUUCUGGUUAUGAUACACGUGCUCUCUAGCUAUAGCUACAAUAAAAGUGUUGCUUAGCUCUACAUUAGAUACUAGCCCUAGUCUAGCUCUAACUGCAAUUAGAAUCUAACAAGUCAUAAUCUUACGAUAAAUUGUAUCCAAAGCUGGCUAUAUGAAAUACUACUAAUAACAAUUGAUAUGUGUUGGUUGAAAUAUAUAAAAAAUGCAGGAUUUUCAU